rnacentral:rRNA from 1 species
UACGUAGGGGGCUAGCGUUGUCCGGAAUCAUUGGGCGUAAAGAGCGUGUAGGCGGCCCGGUAAGUCCGCUGUGAAAGUCGGGGGCUCAACCCUCGAAUGCCGGUGGAUACUGUCGGGCUAGAGUGCGGAAGAGGCGAGUGGAAUUCCUGGUGUAGCGGUGAAAUGCGUAGAUAUCUGGAGGAACACCGGUGGCGAAGGCGGCAUCCUGGACCAUAACUGACACUGAUAAGCGAAAGCCAGGGGAGCAAACGGG